rnacentral:rRNA from 1 species
AGCGAACGCUGGCGGCAGGCCUAACAUAUGCAAGUCGAACGAAGUCUUCGGACUUAGUGGCGGACGGGUGAGUAACACGUGGGAACGUGCCUUUAGGUUCGGAAUAACUCAGGGAAACUUGUGCUAAUACCGAAUGUGCCCUUCGGGGGAAAGAUUUAUCGCCUUUAGAGCGGCCCGCGUCUGAUUAGCUAGUUGGUGAGGUAAAGGCUCACCAAGGCUACGAUCAGUAGCUGGUCUGAGAGGAUGACCAGCCACGUUGGGACUGAGACACGGCCCAAACUCCUACGGGAGGCAGCAGUGGGGAAUCUUGCGCAAUGGGCGAAAGCCUGACGCAGCCAUGCCGCGUGGAUGAUGAAGGUCUUAGGAUUGUAAAAUCCUUUCACCGGUGAAGAUAAUGACUGUAGCCGGAGAAGAAGCCCCGGCUAACUUCGUGCCAGCAGCCGCCGUAACAC